UACGUAGGAGGCAAGCGUUGUCCGGAAUUACUGGGUGUAAAGCGCGUGUAGGCGGCAGGCCAAGUCUGUGGUGAAAUCGCUCGGCUCAACUGGGCGGGGUCCAUGGAAGCUGGUCAGCUGGAGGACGGUAGAGGUGAGUGGAAUUCCCGGUGUAGUGGUGAAAUGCGUAGAGAUCGGGAGGAACACCCGUGGCGAAGGCGGCUCACUGGGCCGGUCCUGACGCUGAGACGCGAAGGCGUGGGGAGCGAACGGG
rnacentral:rRNA from 1 species